CCUAAAUUGGGAUUGCCUCGGUGGAUACACGUGUUCCCCGAGGCCCGAGCAUGCCAAAUCGACAUUUGCCUUCUAUUUGCAAACUCCAUCCAACUUGCUCAAUGCUUCUCUCAUUAUCCUAGUCACCUUAUCGGCCCUACCGGGACCACGUUACGCAUUCACAGUCCAUCAAUAUGACUAGAUACUAGAUCAUGGUUCAUUGGGAAGCUUAAAAAAUUAUGUAGAUUUGGCAUGAUGAACAUUAUACUUUACUUCCAUAUUUUUUGGCAUGAUGAACAUUAUACUUUACUUCCAUAUUUUUUUAAAUAAAAAAUGUACAGACUACAAAUAUUUUAAACACUUUCUGAGAAUGACAUAUAGAUCUUUUUUUUUCAAAAUCAAAAUUUAUUCAUACACAAAAUACGGUAUUCAUACAAAAACUAGCGACCACACGAAAUAACCCCACAACCAAAAAGCCUAUAGAAAGCGGUAGCUAAAAGCCUAAAACCCACACUGGAGCUACUCGAAUGACAUAUUGAUCUAAAUUCCGCGUUCUAUGACCAACAAAACAAAUGUUCAUCAUAUUUAGUUUGGGAUAACAUAUAACUGCCAGCUACCGGCAAGAAAUUAUCUCAAGUGUCAAUAAUGAUACAACAAUAAAACACAAAUCAUUAGCUUGUUUUGGUAACAUAAAGACUAAAAAGAAAUUGGACUUUAUGACAAACAAAACUGUUAUAGUUCACCAUCUAACCAAUAUGAUAACGUAGUUAUAAUAUUUUCUGUGUAGUAUGUAUAAUGACAAUAUAUACCUUCAUACCGACGCUUUACUGAAGCGAUCGAGUGUUUGAGUUAAAAAGAUGAGUUGUGUAAAAUUAAGUUCCACAAUAAAUGUUAACAACUCUGAUUUAUCUUUCAAAAAGAAAAGAGAAUUAUCGCAACUCUGAAAAUCAGAUUCACUAGAGUAAAAAAACUGGGCUUCAGAAUCGAAAUCGAUGAGGAAGGAGAUGCAGACUUACAUCAGUGGAACAAUAGGAGAAGAAAUUCGGGAAACAAAAUUAAGGUAUUUCAGGCCCGUUGGUGAGGAAGAAAUGAUGGUGGUCUCGAAAAUGGUAAAGUUAGCGUAACCUAAUCUUAAUAUGUAUUGUAGUUGCAGUUAUGGGGGGUGAGAUAUAAACGAGGGAUGAUGAGUGUGUGUUGCCUAUCGGAAAGGCGGAGAAGAUGUAAAUGAAAGUUUGCCAACUAUACCAUGUUCGACUAUUGGAGACAAGAUUCCACAUCGGAAAUAUGAAAAAGACUUGAAUAAUAUAUAAGGGACUUGGGUCAAUCCACUAAUUGCCAAUUGGUUUUAAGUUGGAA
rnacentral:lncRNA from 1 species